UACGAAGGGGGCUAGCGUUGCUCGGAAUCACUGGGCGUAAAGGGUGCGUAGGCGGGUCUUUAAGUCAGGGGUGAAAUCCUGGAGCUCAACUCCAGAACUGCCUUUGAUACUGAGGAUCUUGAGUUCGGGAGAGGUGAGUGGAACUGCGAGUGUAGAGGUGAAAUUCGUAGAUAUUCGCAAGAACACCAGUGGCGAAGGCGGCUCGCUGGAACGGUACUGACGCUGAGACGCGAAAGCGUGGGGAGCAAACAGG
rnacentral:rRNA from 1 species